UUGAAUCUCUAAACAGGGAGGAAAAUGCACUUCCCCCCUCCUUCUCUCUCCCCUCCCAGACUCCCUGGAGAGAAAAGUAAUCCUGAACAGAGAGAAAUUAGCCCUCUCU